AUUGAACGCUGGCGGCAUGCCUUACACAUGCAAGUCGAACGGUAACAGGUCUUCGGAUGCUGACGAGUGGCGAACGGGUGAGUAAUACAUCGGAACGUGCCCGAUCGUGGGGGAUAACGAGGCGAAAGCUUUGCUAAUACCGCAUACGAUCUACGGAUGAACGCGGGGGAUCUUCGGACCUCGCGCGGACGGAGCGGCCGAUGGCAGAUUAGGUAGUUGGUGGGAUAAAAGCUUACCAAGCCGACGAUCUGUAGCUGGUCUGAGAGGAUGAUCAGCCACACUGGGACUGAGACACGGCCCAGACUCCUACGGGAGGCAGCAGUGGGGAAUUUUGGACAAUAGGCGAAAGCCUGAUCCAGCCAUGCCGCGUGCAGGAUGAAGGCCUUCGGGUUGUAAACUGCUUUUGUACGGAACGAAAAGCCUCUUUCUAAUAAAGAGGGGUCAUGACGGUACCGUAAGAAUAAGCACCGGCUAACUACGUG
rnacentral:rRNA from 1 species